CGAUCACAGUCUGACCUGUCGGCAAGCUCGUUAACUUGCAAAUCGGGCUUAAAAUCCUGUAGUGUGAACUAGGUAUUCGUCUCUUCUGCCUCAGA